rnacentral:rRNA from 1 species
AUUGAACGCUGGCGGCAUGCCUUACACAUGCAAGUCGAACGGCAGCACGGGAGCAAUCCUGGUGGCGAGUGGCGAACGGGUGAGUAAUAUAUCGGAACGUGCCCAGUCGUGGGGGAUAACGUAGCGAAAGCUACGCUAAUACCGCAUACGAUCUAUGGAUGAAANCGGGGGAUCGCAAGACCUCGCGCGAUUGGAGCGGCCGAUAUCAGAUUAGGUAGUUGGUGAGGUAAAGGCUCACCAAGCCGACGAUCUGUAGCUGGUCUGAGAGGACGACCAGCCACACUGGGACUGAGACACGGCCCAGACUCCUACGGGAGGCAGCAGUGGGGAAUUUUGGACAAUGGGCGCAAGCCUGAUCCAGCAAUGCCGCGUGCAGGAUGAAGGCCUUCGGGUUGUAAACUGCUUUGUACGGAACGAAACGGUGAGCACUAAUACAGUUUGCUAAUGACGGUACCGUAAGAAUAAGCACCGGCUAACUACGUG